AUUGAACGCUGGCGGCAGGCUUAACACAUGCAAGUCGAGCGGAAACGGAGGUAGCUUGCUACCAGACGUCGAGCGGCGAACGGGUGAGUAACGCGUAGGAAUCUACCUAGUAGAGGGGGAUAGCCCGGGGAAACUCGGAUUAAUACCGCAUACGCCCUAAGGGGGAAAGCAGGGGAUCUUCGGACCUUGCGCUAUUAGAUGAGCCUGCGUCGGAUUAGCUAGUUGGUAGGGUAAAGGCCUACCAAGGCGACGAUCCGUAGCUGGUCUGAGAGGAUGAUCAGCCACACUGGAACUGAGACACGGUCCAGACUCCUACGGGAGGCAGCAGUGGGGAAUAUUGGACAAUGGGGGCAACCCUGAUCCAGCCAUGCCGCGUGUGUGAAGAAGGCC
rnacentral:rRNA from 1 species